AUCGCAAUCUCUCUCUCACAAGAUCGACCGAUCGAUCGACCUCAUCGCAUCGCACACAGUCUCUUACUCUGGUUUUGCAUCCACACCGAUCGGCUCUCUCUCACAGUUUAAAUGGAGGAUAGUAUUCAAUCUCCCGCAAUCAAUCUUGUACCGCCGGAAUCCUCUAAUUCUCAAAUGAAUCCCCUCUUAGUCGAACCCGAACCUGAACCU